rnacentral:rRNA from 1 species
UACGUAGGGGGCUAGCGUUGUCCGGAAUCAUUGGGCGUAAAGCGCGCGUAGGCGGCCCGGUAAGUCCGUUGUAAAAGCAAAGGCUCAACCGUUUGAAAGCCGAUGGAUGACUGCCGGGCUAGAGUACGGAAGAGGCGAGUAGAAUUCCUGGUGUAGCGGUGGAAUGCGCAGAUAUCAGGAGGAACACCGGUGGCGAAGGCGGUCGUCUGGGCCGAUAUCGACGCUGAGGAGCGAAGCGUGGGGAGCGAACAGG